GAUAUGGCUCAGGAUGAACGCUAGCUACAGGCUUAACACAUGCAAGUCGAGGGGCAGCAUUUUAGUUUGCUUGCAAACUAAAGAUGGCGACCGGCGCACGGGUGAGUAACACGUAUCCAACCUGCCGAUAACUCUGGGAUAGCCUUUCGAAAGAAAGAUUAAUACCGGAUGGCAUAGGAUUAUCGCAUGAUAAUCCUAUUAAAGAAUUUCGGUUAUCGAUGGGGAUGCGUUCCAUUAGG
rnacentral:rRNA from 1 species